rnacentral:rRNA from 1 species
AUUGAACGCUGGCGGCAUGCUUUACACAUGCAAGUCGAACGGCAGCGCGGGCUUCGGCCUGGCGGCGAGUGGCGAACGGGUGAGUAAUACAUCGGAACGUGCCCAGUAGUGGGGGAUAGCUCGGCGAAAGCCGGAUUAAUACCGCAUACGACCUGAGGGUGAAAGCGGGGGAUCUUCGGACCUCGCGCUAUUGGAGCGGCCGAUGGCAGGUUAGCUAGUUGGUGGGGUAAAGGCCUACCAAGGCGACGAUCUGUAGCUGGUCUGAGAGGACGACCAGCCACACUGGGACUGAGACACGGCCCAGACUCCUACGGGAGGCAGCAGUGGGGAAUUUUGGACAAUGGGCGAAAGCCUGAUCCAGCAAUGCCGCGUGUGUGAUGAAGGCCUUCGGGUUGUAAAGCACUUUUGGCGGGAACGAAAAGGACUGUGCCAAUACCACGGUUCGAUGACGGUACCCGCAGAAUAAGCACCGGCUAACUACGUG